AUUGAACGCUGGCGGCAGGCCUAACACAUGCAAGUCGAGCGGAUGAAGGGAGCUUGCUCCUGGAUUCAGCGGCGGACGGGUGAGUAAUGCCUAGGAAUCUGCCUGGUAGUGGGGGAUAACGUCCGGAAACGGGCGCUAAUACCGCAUACGUCCUGAGGGAGAAAGUGGGGGAUCUUCGGACCUCACGCUACCAGAUGAGCCUAGGUCGGAUUAGCUAGUUGGUGGGGUAAAGGCCUACCAAGGCGACGAUCCGUAACUGGCCUGAGAGGAUGAUCAGUCACACUGGAACUGAGACACGGUCCAGACUCCUACGGGAGGCAGCAGUGGGGAAUAUUGGACAAUGGGCGAAAGCCUGAUCCAGCCAUGCCGCGUGUGUGAAGAAGGUCUUCGGAUUGUAGAGCACUUUAAGUUGGGAGGAAGGGCAGUAAGUUAAUACCUUGCUGUUUUGACGUUACCAACAGAAUAAGCACCGGCUAACUUCGUG
rnacentral:rRNA from 1 species